CCCCCACCGCAGCCGCCGAGCAUCCAGAGAAAGGUCCGUCCGUUAACCUCACUCACUCCCACUGCCUGCUGCCUGGACUCCCGUUCAACAGGGAGAAGAAAGACAACAGUGGACGUGGUGGUGGUGGUGGUGGUAGGUCCUGCGGUCAUCCAAAGACGGUGCUGAAGAAAUAAGUGUUGCUAAGUGAAUCAGACGCCCAGACCGGACACCACUGUGGUAGCAAUCUGUCAAUCACAAGGCGUGCUUGAGAGGCAACACUGAAUCAUCCACAGAGCAGUUCCCCCAUACUACUCAAACUGACUACAUGUGAACUCUGAAUGUGUCCGUCUGCUCUGUUUUCAUGAGUGAACCAAACAUAGCAGGUCCAAACACAACA